rnacentral:rRNA from 1 species
GACGAACGCUGGCGGCGUGCCUAACACAUGCAAGUCGAACGGACCGAAGCGAAAAGCUUGCUUUACGCGGAGGUUAGUGGCGGACGGGUGAGUAACACGUGGAUAAUCUGCCUAUGACACCGGGAUAACACUGUGAAAACGGUGCUAAUACCGGAUACGUUUAUCUGGCCGCAUGGCAAGAUAAAGAAAGGAGCAAUCCGGUCAUAGAUGAGUCCGCGUCUGAUUAGCUAGUUGGCAGGGUAAAGGCCUACCAAGGCGACGAUCAGUAGCCGGCCUGAGAGGGUGACCGGCCACACUGGGACUGAGACACGGCCCAGACUCCUACGGGAGGCAGCAGUGGGGAAUCUUCCGCAAUGGGCGAAAAGCCUGACGGAGCAACGCCGCGUGGGUGAAGAAGGCCUUCGGGUUGUAAGACCUGUCUUAUGGACGAGGAGGAGACGGUACCGAUAGGAGGAAGCCGACGGCUAACUACGUGCCAGCAGCCGCGGUAAACGUACGUACUACUAUCUAGAC